UUCUUCUGUUCGUUGCAUCUAUAGCAAACUUCUAGUUUCUCGUGUCAGCCAUGCGCGGUGGCAGUCCACCGCAGGCGGCUGGCGGCCGUCUCAACUCCAGCCCCGCCGCUUCCAUGCCGAGUGGCGAGUUGUCGUCUGCCUCGUCGACGAGCGCCUACGCCGGCGGCCUCUCGUCGGCGCCCGUUCCGGCGGGAGCCAAGGAGAGGGCCCAGAACGGCAAGAAGGCCGCCUUCACCCGCAGAGGCAUCCUCGGCUGCGUGAAGCAGCGAAUCUUUGCUGAAAUGCUUGACCCCGUGGAGGGUGACUACAAUAUAGUGGUGUGCGACAACAAGGGGGCCGAGAUCCUCAGCACAUGCGUGCGCAUGCACGACUUGAUGGACCACGGCGUGACUCUCGUCGAGGAUCUUGGCAUGCCACGUCAGCCGGUGCUCAGCAGCGCCGCCAUCUACCUUAUCGAGCCCACCGAGGAGUCCGUGCGCCGGGUGAUGAAUGACUGGCAGGCGAAGAACAUGUACCGCGAGGCGCACGUUUUCUUCACCUCGUCUUCGUCGGAACGACUCAUUCAGAUCAUGGCCUCGGAGCCGCGCCUCGUGCAGGCCAUCAAGACCUUGAAGGACAUGUUGCUCGACUUUGAGGUUCCAGAAAGCUUGCUCUUCAACUUCUGCAUGCACAGCGACAUCCAGAGACUUUUCCCACCCGACGUGGCGCUCUCCGGAGGGUGCCAGAACAUCCUCAGCGAGGUCGCCACGCGGCUGGUGUCCGUCUUCUUCACCAUUGGUGCCGGCGUACCAACGGUGCAGUACCAGGGCAACAGUCAACUGGCGCAGCAGGUGGCGCGCAUCUUCAUUGACCAGGCCGCCCAAGCAUCGCGCACGAACCCGGCCACGUUCCGCAUGUCCAGCGCUGCGACGCCAUGUGGCGGUGGCGCGGCAGACGAGUCCCCGCUGCUCAUCCUCGUAGACCGCUCCUUCGACGCCGUGGAGCCGCUCAUGCACGAACGCACGUAUCAGUGCCUGCUGAACGACCUCAUGCCUAUCGAGAACAACAUCUACGAGCAGACCUACGAGGGUCGCUCGGGGCAGGAGGCAACGCGCAGCUGCCCGAUCGACGAGCAUGACCCGUAUUGGUGCCAGUACCGCCACAAGUUCUUUCCUGUCUGCCUCCUCGAGUUCCCGAAGAAACUGCAGAGCUUGAUGGCGGCCAACCCGAACCUUGUGGCGGGCAUGAGAAGACUGAACAGCGGGUACGGGGCGGGAAGCAAACUCGGUGAUGUCGGCAGCGCCAUUCGUGCCCUGCCGGAGUUUCAGGAACAGCAGGCGAAGAUCUCCCUGCACAUCGACAUCUGCACCAAGAUCAUGGACCGCUACAGGCAGCAGAAGCUGGCGGAGGUGUGCGAAGUGGAGCAGGACGUCGCCACCGGGCGACGACCGUUCAAGGAGCUGUACGACAACAUCCACCGCCUGACAGCGGACGUCUCUCUGCCGCUUGGCGUGCGCGUGCGUCUCAUCCUGCUGCUGAUUGCUGGCACAAACACGCGCGAGUUCUCCGAGGCGAAGAAGCUUAUGCUUCUGCAGGAGGCCGGGCUCAGCAGCCAGGCCGACCUCUGCAACUCCUUUUCUAUGCUCAUCUCGCGAACGGGCCAGCUGCCGCAGGAGGCGGCAGCGCAGGGCACCGACAGCGAUGCGAACAACGGCGGCUGCAACGGCGGAAACGGCAAGAACCCCAGCGUCUCACUCGCGCGCCGCUCUCUGCGCAUGAACCGCACAGGUGUCCAGGGCGUGAGCGGCUCGCCGGGCGGCAACGCGCAGGCGAACGCGGCUAACGAAGGUGAUGAAAAUGCGAGUGCCCCAGCGGCGGACCUGUACCGGAACCAGGCAUACUUGAUACUCCGUGCCGCCGCGAGCAGCACACUCAGCACGUCGGACUUCCCCAUCUUCCGUACCAGCUUCGGUGGUGGGCGUGGUGGCAGCCUUCGCGGAGCACUGCAGCAGCGACGCGCGCUUCGUGCUGCUGGCGGUGGCAACGAGGGUAUCGACUUUGGCGGCCUUGCCGGUGGAAACACCAAACUGACGCUCGACCUGGGCCACGAGGGAAAGUUUGCGCUAAAGACACGACGCCGCAUUGUACUGUUCGUGUUGGGCGGCGUAACGUACGGUGAGGUGCGUGCCGCGUACGAGAUCGCGCAGACCGCGCAUGUGGAGGUGUUUGUGGGCGGCACGUCGCUAUUGACUCCAGAUAGGUUCCUUUCUAGUCUGAACUCUCUGCGCUAAACAACGGAGGUACACGUUAAGUCCCGUUUCCAUUUCCGUUGCCUUGUGCGGAGGGGCAAGCAGAGGAAGCGUUGGUGACAUAUUUGCGCUCGCGCACGCGAUACCCGGUGCGCGCUCGACCUUGGCAGCUGCCGCCGUCACGCGCCUGCACGCACAUACACACACUCCUGUGCCGAAGCUGUGAAGUGUUCUUUUUUCGUUACUUAUUCUGCGUGCCAUGUAAAAGUGCUUGGGCAUGCUUCUGCUGCUGCGUAGCAGGUUGUAUGCACCUGUGCGUGUACGGCUUGUCUCUCUGCCUGUCUCUCUCUGGGCACACCCGAAGAAUCUUAGCGCGACGCACUUGUCCCUUCAGACAUUUGUGGGUUGGCGGCCACGUGCAGCGAUGCAUAUGCGCGCUAGUGCGUGUGUCUGUGUGUGUGUGUGUCUGUCUGUCUGUGUUUUGUUUCCCUCAACUCAUUCUCACUUGCAUUUUACAGCUGGUUGUUCUGUGCGCUGCUGCUUUCUCUUCGCCCCUCGCUUGGAGGGGGUGGUGGCGGUGGCGGAGCCUUGUGAUGUUUUCUACACUGUUUACGGUUGCACUGCACUUGCGCCACCUUUUGUUUCUCCCUCCAUCCUUU
rnacentral:misc_RNA from 1 species